AACAUCGCGCACCUGCGGGAACCUGCGGAGGGAUCAUUACAGAGUUGCAAAACUCCCUAAACCAUUGUGAACGUUACCUAAACCGUUGCUUCGGCGGGCGGCCCGGGUCCUUCCCGGCGCCCCCCGGCCCUCGCGGGCGCCCGCCGGAGGUAAACCAAACUAUUGCAUUGUAUGGCCUCUCUGAGUCUUCUGUACUGAAUAAGUCAAAACUUUCAACAAUGGAUCUCAGAUCGGAAGAGC
rnacentral:misc_RNA from 1 species